GGGUGGGGACAGUGAUGUCAUAAUGGAACCUCAGGGUAAAACAAGAGAUUGAAAAGCUUCCCAAGGCGCCAACCUUCAAGAUUUAAAGGGAAGUAGGGCUGAUUUAGCUCUGUUCUGGUUCUGUUUCUGCUCAGCAUUCUCAGGUCUAAGAUUCCUGGGUUGGCUUCUGAGAGGGAGGAGACAGCCACCACAGCAAGAACAGCACCAGGAGUUUUAGAUUAAAAAUGGAAAGCAGAGAGUAGACUUGCUCUUUCAGCUCUUGUCCUGAAAGCAGCUGUCAAGAAGGCAACUGGGUGGAAGGAACAGGGAGGGCUGGAGAAAGCUGGCCAGUUGGCUGAAGGGGAGAGAGCAGGACUGGAGUCAGGACCUGGCAGAGAAAGACUGGUAGGGGAUGUGGGCACCUUGUGUGGCAAUGAGGUGAGCUCAGGAAGAGAAGAUGGCUGAGUGUAUUUGUCUACUGAGCUGUAAGGAGCUGACCUGCUGAACAGGGGAUGAGGCCUGUGGGCUGAGGACUGCCUGGCUCAGAACGGUGGAGGGAGAAGGUCAAGAGGAGGAGGGGAGCCAUCAGAGCUAACUGCCCGUCACCUGCUUGCCUUCAGAAGAUGUGCCUUCCGGGACCUGGUGGAGAGCAGAUGCCAGUGAGGUGCCUGUGGAGAGAAGGAAGCGUUUUCAUGUUCAGCCACACUUCUGCGGUCAUGCAAUUGGGCUCCAGGUGUGUGGCUGUACUGUCUCCACUCCCUGGUGAUUGGAGGAGGCUGAUCACAGGUCUGAUGUGAAGCUUCGGGGCUGCUGGGUUCCUGCUGGUCUGUAGCCAUGGGGCUGGGAACCAGACCUCUGAGACAGGGGAUGGAGUCAGUUGCUGAUCCAGGUAAGAGCUGCUGCAGGCUGAUGAAGCCAUGUUGCUGGUGACGGAACAGGAACAUGAAGUAGACAGGAGCAAGUCAGUUUCUCCCUUCCAGCUUCACAGCCUUCCUUUUGGCAGAACCUGUCUUAUGGCUUGCACAGAAACGGACCCAGCACUGCAGGGCUAAGUACAGUUGUCCCUUGGUAUUCUGGGGGAUUGAUUUCGGAAACGUCUGGACACCAAAAUCUGCAAAUGCUAAAGUCCCUUAUAUAAAAUGGCAUAAUAUUUUGCUAUAAUCUAUAAUAUACUCCUGUAUACUUUAAAUAAUUUUGAAGUUUCUUAUAAUACCUAAUAUAAAUGCUAUGCACAUAAUUGCCAUACUAUAUUGUUAAGGGAAUAAUGUCCACAAAAGUGUCUAUACGUGUUCAAUAGAGAUGAGAUUAAAAAAUAUUUUCAAUCUGCAGUGGGUUGAAUUUGUAGAUGUGGAACCGACGGAG
rnacentral:lncRNA from 1 species